rnacentral:lncRNA from 1 species
UGUAUUCGGGUAACCCAGUUCCAUGGGGAACCCCUGCUCCACCUCCUUAUGCUCCUUAUGCUCCUCCCCCUCCUCCUGGUUCGAACAUGUACUACCCUCCUAUGAGUCAGCCUAUGGCCGGUUAUGGUGCACGAUACCCUCCUCCCCCUGGUGCACCACCUCCACCCUCCAGUGAAGCACAGCAGAGUUACCCUCCUCCAGGAGUUCAAUCUGAAAAUUCUAGCCAACCUAUACCAACUAAUAUGUAUGGGAGCUCUCUGCCAGCAAUGCCACCAAAUGGCCAACAUACUUAUCCUGCAUCUUCAUAUGGUUACUCAUCUUACUACAAUGCUGUUCCAC